AAGUAGAAUUUAGAGGAAGAAAAUACCGGAGUUGCAGGGUAUAGGUAAAUUUCUCAAGGUUAUAGGUUGGGGUUCUUAGAACUUUUUGUGGUGUGUGUUGGCCUAGAGCGACUCAGAAGCGUUAGUGACUUCACCUAAAAAAGCUAACCUCUCUGCUGAGCGCGACCGGUAUGCGGCGCAGGAUGAGCCUCAGGGCUUCUGUUAAGAGUCUGUCUGAGAAAGCCGGUCUGCGCUGUUCCUCGGUGGCGACCUUAAUUAUGAGAUGAGCUAAUGCUUUACUGACUUAACCAUGGCGCAGCGGGCAGUGUGGCUCAUAAGCCACGAACCGGGAACUCCACUUUGUGGCACCGUGAGAUUCUCCAGUGUGAUUUGGAAGGAAUCAUGCCAAAUGUUACCAUCAGCUUGAGUCUCCCCACCAAUGGAUCUCCACUUCAGGAUAUUCUAGUUCACCCUUGUGUAACUUCUCUUGACUCUGCAAUUCUGACUUCUAGUAGUAUUGAUGCAAUGGAUGACUCUGCAUUUAGUGGGCCUUACAAAUUUCCAUUCACUCCACCUUUAGAGUCAUUCAACUUAUGCUUCUACACUUCCCAGGUCCCUGUCCCACCAAUUUUGGGUUUUUAUCAAAUGAAGGAGGAAGAAGUACAACUAAGAAUAACCAUUAAUUUAAAACUUCAUGAAAGUGUGAAAAAUAAUUUUGAAUUCUGUGAAGCCCAUAUACCUUUUUACAAUAGAGGUCCAAUUACACAUUUGGAAUACAAAACUAGUUUUGGCCAGCUUGAAGUAUUUCGAGAGAAAAGCUUAUUGAUCUGGAUUAUUG
rnacentral:lncRNA from 1 species